UACAGAGGUGGCAAGCGUUGUUCGGAAUUACUGGGCGUAAAGGGCGCGUAGGCGGCCCGAUAAGUCCCGCGUGAAAGCCCCCGGCUCAACUGGGGAACUGCGCGGGAAACUAUCGGGCUUGAGUUCGGGAGAGGGAAGCGGAAUUCCGGGUGUAGCGGUGAAAUGCGCAGAUAUCAGGAGGAACACCAAUGGCGAAGGCAGCUCGCUGGGACGUGACUGACGCUGAGACGCGAAAGCGUGGGGAGCAAACAGG
rnacentral:rRNA from 1 species